AUCUAGCUGACGUGUCUCAAAUAGGACGAAACGCGCGUCCUGGAU
rnacentral:hammerhead_ribozyme from 1 species